CCUACGGGUGACAGCAGUGAGGAAUAUUGGUCAAUGGACGAGAGUCUGAACCAGCCAAGUAGCGUGAAGGAUGACUGCCCUAUGGGUUUUAAACUUCUUUUAUAUGGGAAUAAAAUGUUCCACGUGUGGGAUUUUGUAUGUACCAUAUGAAUAAGGAUCGGCUAACUCCGUGCCAGCAGCCGCGGUAAUACGGAGGAUGCGAGCGUUAUCCGGAUUUAUUGGGUUUAAAGGGUGCGUAGGCGGAUCGUUAAGUCAGUGGUAAAAUUGAGGGGCUCAACCCAUUCCCGCCAUUGAAACUGGCGGUCUUGAGUGGAAGAGAAGUAUGUGGAAUGCGUGGUGUAGCGGUGAAAUGCAUAGAUAUCACGCAGAACACCGAUUGCGAAGGCAGCAUGCCGGCUUACGACUGACGCUGAAGCACGAAAGCGUGGGGAUCGAACAGGAUUAGAUACCCGGGUAGUC
rnacentral:rRNA from 1 species